GGAGGAAGAGGAGGAGAAGAAAGAAAGAAAGAAAGAAAGAAAGAAAGAAAGAAAGAAAGAUGGAUGCACAUUCAAGAAAACCUCUACUACAGCAAUCUGAAAAUGCUCCUCAAGAAGCUGUUACUUCCUCCCAUUUGCACAGGCACACACCUGGUGCUCUCCUCUCAGACCCUGCAAGUAAACAGAGACUCAUCUGAUCCACAAAGAAUAGGGAAACUGGAACAGAAAAAGUCACUUUCUCCUUUGGGAGCCUUGCAGACAAUCAGUGACGUCAACACAUCACACCUGAUUCAUCAAGGUCUGGAAAGGAGCCUUGCUGUCCAAGCUCUGGACUUGCCCGGCACAUGCGCAUCACAGUGGGCUUCCCAAGCACAGCUGUCAGCAAGAAGGCAACAACACAAAGGCGAGCAUGCGUCUUUUGUUUAUUGAUUCAAAGACACAUUUUUGAUGAUUGCAACAAAACUCAGUUAAAUGACUAUUGAGAUUGGAGGCUAACAGGGGGUAACUAAAUAAACAAAAGCUACUUCUU